GUUAUAUGGUCAAGUGAAGAAGCGCAUACGGUGGAUGCCUUGGCAGUCAGAGGCGAUGAAAGACGUGGUAGCCUGCGAAAAGCUUCGGGGAGUCGGCAAACAGACUUUGAUCCGGAGAUGUCUGAAUGGGGGAACCCAGCCAUCAUAAGAUGGUUAUCUUGUACUGAAUACAUAGGUGCAAGAGGCGAACCAGGGGAACUGAAACAUCUAAGUACCCUGAGGAAAAGAAAUCAACCGAGAUUCCCUUAGUAGUGGCGAGCGAACGGGGACUAGCCCUUAAGUGGCUUUGAGAUUAGCGGAACGCUCUGGAAAGUGCGGCCAUAGUGGGUGAUAGCCCUGUACGCGAAAAUCUCUU
rnacentral:rRNA from 1 species